AUGAAAGGAAUCUUUUGGAAUAGCAGAGGUCUGAAAGACUUGGCUAAAAGAAGGUUUCUUGCUAAGGCUUCUCUGGAGCAUCGUUUAGAUUUUAUUGCUCUAUCAGAAACUGGUAGAGAUAACUUUGCGCCCCAGUUCCUUUCCUCUCUUGCGGGUGGUGUUGAUUUUGAUUGGCAUUGCCUCCCUCCGCGAGGAAGAUCGGGUGGUAUCUUGCUGGGUGUGAGAUGCGAUUCGCUUGAAGUCCGGAGUGUAGUGAUGGGUGACUUCGCGGUUAAGUUUCGAGUCAGGUCUAAGGCUGAUGGUUUCAGCUGGGCAUUGGUGGUGGUUUAUGGUGCCGCACAGCCCGAGCUUAAACCGGAAUUUUCGGCGGAUCUUGUUCGGAUUUGUGGGUCCGAACAGCUUCCAAUCUUAGUUGCGGGUGAUUUCAACAUCAUUAGGAGGAGAGAGGAGAAGAAUAAUGAUAACUUUGAUGGCAGGUGGUCGUUCAUGUUCAAUACUAUUAUUGAAAGCUUGGAUCUGAGGGAGAUAGAGCUUUCUGGUAGAAAGUUUACCUGGGCUAACUCUUUGCCCAACCCGACUUACGAGAAGCUUGAUCGCGUUCUUGCGAGUGUGGAGUGGGAACAGAAGUUCCCGCUUGUGACGGUUCAAGCUCUUUCUCGGGGUUUUUCCGAUCACACACCCCUGUUCGUUGACUCAGGGGAGCCAAACCACGUGGGAAACAAAAACACCUUUUCUUUUGAGAUGGCCUGGUUCGAACGCGAAGGGUUCAUAGACCUGAUCGCUAGUGAAUGGGCGAAGGGUGUAGGCGGUAGGACCGCGGUUGAGCGUUGGCAAAAUAAGAUUAGGAGUUUGCGAAGCUUCUUACGAGGUUGGGCUAAGCACCUUAGUGGGGUAUAUAAGAUUGAAAAGGACAGGCUCCUCUCUCUUAUACAGAAUCUGGACGUUAAGGCCGAAUCCACGAUUUUGAUGCCUGCUGAGCUCCAGGUUAAAACUGAUGCAGAGAACAGGUUGAAAGAACUUCUCCGCGAAGAAGAAUUGAAGUGGGCUUUGCGGGCCAAGGUUCGCAAAGUGGUCCAAGGGGACGCGAAUACUCAAUUCUUUCAUCUGAUUGCUAAUGGUAAGCAGAGAAAGAAGAGAAUAUUCCAACUUGAACAAGAUGAGGGCACUAUUGUAGGACAGGAUAACCUUAAAACAUUUAUAACCGAGUAUUAUAGGCAGUUAUUUGGACCUCCGGAGGAUAAUUGUGUAUCUCUCGAUGACUCCAGAACUGAGGAUGUGCCUCAACUUUCGGCUGCUGAAAAUGAUAUUCUGGUUGCCCCGUUUUCGGAGGAGGAGGUGUUUGAUGCUAUAGCACAGUUGAAAAAUAAUAAGGCUCCCGGACCGGAUGGAUUUCCGGCGGAGUUCUACAAGAAGUGCUGGCAUAUUCUUAAGGGGGAUUUGUUACCUAUGUUUCAUGAUCUGUUCUCUGGACAGCUUCAAUUAUUUCACUUGAAUUUUGGAACUAUCACACUGCUUCCUAAGAAGACGGACGCUGUGAGAAUUGAGCAGUUCAGGCCGAUCUGCCUUCUCAAUGUUAGUUUUAAAAUAUUCACCAAGGUCGGGACUAAUAGGCUCACACAGAUUGCGCAUUCUGUGGUGCAGCACUCCCAAACUGCUUUCAUGCCGGACCGAAACAUCCUUGAAGGGGUGGUCGUCCUUCAUGAAACGCUCCAUGAAAUCCAUUCCAAGAAGUUAGAUGGUGUCAUUUUUAAGGUGGAUUUCGAGAAAGCGUAUGAUAAGGUUAAAUGGCCAUUUCUCCAACAGGCAUUGCGAAUGAAAGGUUUUGAUGAAGUCUGGCGACGCCAGGUUGAAUCAUUUACGCAAAAAGGGUGUGUGGGAAUUAAAGUGAAUGACGAUAUCGGUCAUUACUUCCAGACACAUAAAGGCCUAAGACAAGGAGAUCCGAUGUCCCCUAUCUUGUUUAACAUUGUGGUUGAUAUGUUAGCAAUCUUGAUAGGAAGGGCUAAGGAGAAUGGUCAAGUGGGUGGCUUGGUACCUCAUCUGGUUGAUGGAGGUGUAUCCAUCCUUCAGUACGCUGAUGAUACAAUCAUCUUUAUGGAGCAUGACCUAGCCAAGGCGAGAAAUGUGAAGCUGGUGUUAUGCCUGUUCGAACAAUUGACCGGGUUAAAGAUUAACUUUCAUAAGAGCGAGCUGUUCUGCUUUGGUAGAGCCAAAGACGAACAGGAGGCUUAUCGGCAAUUGUUUGGGUGCGACUUGGGGUUUUUACCUUUCUCGUAUCUAGGUAUUCCAAUCCACCAUAGAAAGCUGACCAAUAGAGAAUGGAAAUGCAUCGAAGACCGGUUUGAGAAGAAACUGAGUUGCUGGAAGGGCAAACUCAUGUCAUAUGGAGGCCGGUUAAUUCUGAUUAAUUCGGUGCUCACGAGUAUGUCUAUGUUUCUCUUAUCGUUCUUUCAAGUCCCAGUUGGUGUUAGGAAAAGACUGGACUUUUAUCGAUCGCGUUUCUUUUGGCAAGGUGAUGAUCUCAAAAGAAAAUACAGACUUGCAAAAUGGGAUAUCAUCUGUCGACCGAAAGACCAAGGGGGUCUUGGUAUUGAGAAUCUUGAAGUUAAGAACAGAUGCCUUCUUAGCAAGUGGCUGUGGAAGCUUUUUUUUGAGACUGAUGCCAUGUGGGCCCAGAUCCUUCGCGGCAAGUACCUACAGACAAAGUCCUUGUCCCAGGUCACAGUCAGGCCAACUGACUCGCCUUUCUGGAAAGGCCUGAUGAAAGUCAAACAAUCUCUGUUUAAUAGGACAAAGGUUGUUAUUGGCAACGGCGCUACUACGCGCUUCUGGGAGGAUACUUGGCUCGGCGAGACACCCUUAGCCAUUCAAUAUCCGUCUUUAUAUCGCAUAGUUCAACGACGUGAGGUGUUCGUUGCUACGGUGUUUCAAUCCAUCCCCCUUAAUAUUCAGUUCAGACGGUCGUUAAUGGGCAAUCGUUGA
rnacentral:rRNA from 1 species